AUUGAACGCUAGCGGCAGGCCUAACACAUGCAAGUCGGACGAGUGGCGGACGGGUGAGUAAUGUAUGGGAAUCUGCCCGAUGGAGGGGGAUAACUACUGGAAAGGGUAGCUAAUACCGCAUACCAUCAGAGGAACCCAUAUGGGAUUAGCUUGUGGGUGGGGUAACGGCUCACCUAGGCGACGAUCCCUAGCUGGUCUGAGAGGACGACCAGCCACACUGGGACUGAGACACGGCCCAGACUCCUACGGGAGGCAGCAGUGGGGAAUAUUGCACAAUGGGCGCAAGCCUGAUGCAGCCAUGCCGCGUGUAUGAAGAAGGCCUUCGGGUUGUAAAGUACUUUCGGCAGGGAGGCGUUACCUGCAGAAGAAGCACCGGCUAACUCCGUGCCAGCAGCCGCGGUAAUAC
rnacentral:rRNA from 1 species